AUUGAACGCUGGCGGCAUGCCUUACACAUGCAAGUCGAACGGUAACAGGUCUUCGGAUGCUGACGAGUGGCGAACGGGUGAGUAAUACAUCGGAACGUGCCUAGUAGUGGGGGAUAACUACUCGAAAGAGUGGCUAAUACCGCAUGAGAUCUACGGAUGAAAGCAGGGGAUCGCAAGACCUUGUGCUACUAGAGCGGCCGAUGGCAGAUUAGGUAGUUGGUGGGAUAAAAGCUUACCAAGCCGACGAUCUGUAGCUGGUCUGAGAGGACGAUCAGCCACACUGGGACUGAGACACGGCCCAGACUCCUACGGGAGGCAGCAGUGGGGAAUUUUGGACAAUGGGCGCAAGCCUGAUCCAGCAACGCCGCGUGCAGGAUGAAGGCCUUCGGGUUGUAAACUGCUUUUGUACGGAACGAAAAGCCCUGGGUUAAUACCCUGGGGUCAUGACGGUACCGUAAGAAUAAGCACCGGCUAACUACGUGCCAGCAGCCGCGGUAA
rnacentral:rRNA from 1 species